AUACGGAGGAUGCAAGCGUUAUCCGGAUUUAUUGGGUUUAAAGGGUGCGUAGGCGGUUUGCUAAGCGGGAGGUGAAAUGCCGGCGCUCAACGUCGGAAGUGCCUCCCGAACUGGUGGACUGGAAUGACUCUGCCGUGGGAGGAAUGGGUAGUGGAGCGGUGAAAUGCUUAGAGAUUACACAGAACACCGAUUGCGAAGGCAUCUCACGAAGGGUUGAUUGACGCUGAGGCACGAAAGCGUGGGGAUCAAACAGGAUUAGAUACCCUGGUAGUCCACGCAGUAAACGAUGAUGGCUAACCGCUGGUUUAUUCGGAUCAGUGGCCAAGCGAAAGCGAUAAGCCAUCCACCUGGGGAGUACGACCGCAAGGUUGAAACUCAAAUGAAUUGACGGGG
rnacentral:rRNA from 1 species